GAUGAACGCUGGCGGCGUGCCUAAUACAUGCAAGUCGAGCGAACAGACGAGGAGCUUGCUCCUUUGACGUUAGCGGCGGACGGGUGAGUAACACGUGGGUAACCUACCUAUAAGACUGGGAUAACUUCGGGAAACCGGAGCUAAUACCGGAUAAUAUUUCGAACCGCAUGGUUCGAUAGUGAAAGAUGGCUCUGCUAUCACUUAUAGAUGGACCUGCGCCGUAUUAGCUAGUUGGUAAGGUAACGGCUUACCAAGGCAACGAUACGUAGCCGACCUGAGAGGGUGAUCGGCCACACUGGAACUGAGACACGGUCCAGACUCCUACGGGAGGCAGCAGUAGGAAAUCUUCCGCAAUGGGCGAAAGCCUGACGGAGCAACGCCGCGUGAGUGAUGAAGGUCUUCGGAUCGUAAAACUCUGUUAUUAGGGAAGAACAAACGUGUAAGUAACUGUGCACGUCUUGACGGUACCUAAUCAGAAAGCCACGGCUAACUACGUG
rnacentral:rRNA from 1 species